UGAUGUAUCUCAAGGUAAAGCUGGACAUUGCAUAUUUGGAUGGCAUAGAUGACGAUAUCGACUUCUGCUGCAAGUUGGCCACCGAGGAGUCUGUGGUGAUAUGUCCCGGUAGUGGACUCCGGAUGAAGAACUGGCUCCGCAUAACCUUCGCGGUGGAUCUGCUCUUGCUUGAUGAUGCCCUGGAGAGGCUCAAGUCUUUUUGCCUCAGGCAUGCCAAACAAAAUACGAAAGCAUGACCAAAUGCAUGUGAACAUGAAUUGAAUAUCACCGCUAUUUCAAAAUAGACAAACUUGCAAGGCGUGCUCAAUUUUUCAAAGAACUUGAUGAUUGUCAAAUGCAUUCAUAAACAGUUGACGAUAGAUGCAAUAAGGAAGACGAAUAUGUACUUUUGAAUAAUAUGUUAUUAUUUUAUGCAUGCUUAUUAUUAACAUUGUUAAAUGUAAGU